rnacentral:rRNA from 1 species
GUGGCGGACGGGUGAGUAACACGUGAGAAUUUACCCUUAGGAGGGGGAUAACAAUUGGAAACAAUUGCUAAAACCCCAUAUGCUUCCGAGUAAAAUAGAUUUAUCUGCCUAGGGAAAAGCUCGCGGCUGAUUAGCUAGUUGGUAGAGUAAUAGCCUACCAAGGCGACGAUCAGUAUCUGGUUUGAGAGGACGAUCAGACACACUGGAACUGAGACACGGUCCAGACUCCUACGGGAGGCAGCAGUGGGGAAUUUUCCGCAAUGGGCGAAAGCCUGACGGAGCAAUACCGCGUGAGGGAUUAAGGCCUGCGGGUCGUAAACCUCUUUUUUCAGGGAGGAAGAUAUGACGUGUACCUGAAGAAUAAGCAUCGGCUAACUCCGUGCCAGCAGCCGCGGUAAGACGGAGGAUGCAAGUGUUAUCCGGAAUCACUGGGCGCAAAGCGUCUGUAGGUGGUUUGAUAAGUCGGUUGUUAAAUCUAGAGGCUCAACUUCUAAAUCGCAUUCGAAACUAUCA